UGGUCGGCGGGCUGGGAGGCUAGGGGUCUCCUACUCCAAAAAUCCUCUAUAUUGGGGCCUAAAGGCUUGGGGCGGACACCAUGUCAGUCAGCCCUAUUGCGACGCCGUAGAAGCUCUGUCCUAUGGGAAGGUUACCUGUAUGAACCAGGCCAGGCCGGAAGGAGCAACCUUAAGUACAGGACACCUUGUCUGUAGGGUAGCGGAGUGGAGGCUAGCAGUAGACCAGCUGAUUGGUAUGGAAACCAACUCAAGCCAGUCCGACCA
rnacentral:SRP_RNA from 1 species